CAAGAGGUAGUUUAACUAGAAUAUCAGCUUUGGGUGUUGAUGGUGGGGCUUGGGCUUCUCUCUUGA
rnacentral:tRNA from 1 species